UUAGUGUGCUUGACCAAAGGUGACUUCAUGGUCUAAGGUCGUGCCCUCCCCCCUUCUGAAUCGAUAAUUUAAUGUGACUUAUCAGAAAGGGAAAGAACUGUUUACUUUAAAAGCCUGGAUUCCAUAAAGGGAGAGGGACAAGGCCUAAAACCCACAGAAGCCCGGGACUCACACUCACGGCCGCCCCCAAGCAGAACAGGGAGCCUGGACCAGAGAAGGGGCCCUGGGCUGAGGACUCGAGCAACUGAAAGAUUAUUGAAAGCCAGAGCACACAGAGCUCACCGGGGGGAGUGGAGGGGCCGGAUGCUGCUAUAGGACUGUUACUGCGCGAAGCUGGUGAGGUGCCUGGUGAUUGGUGGCCAGGGUGGAUGGAUGUGCGGGUGAAGUUAACACCAUCACAGCCACAGACGUUCCUUAGCAGAGCUGUGGAGUGUGACAAUGGUGUUUGUGUCCAAACUAUCAAACGCCAUUAUCACACUAAAUAGCUACUGUUAGGCAAUCCUUCCGCUCAAUAAAUGCUUUGGCAUCUGUUUGGAAUGAGCAAGAAGGUUCCGCUUAGAGCAGUGUUGCCAGUUUUGUGUGGUUACUGAAUAAAUUCCGGUCCCUUUAUGCUCAUAACCAAUAUGUCAUCUGAACUGUGCCUCUCGCAUGCUGUUAAAUACUUGAGUUGAUGAUGAAUGUUCUUGUUUUCCUGAGCCAAUAAAAGGAUCACAGAGCUCCCCUACCCCCAAAGCACCCAGCCUGAGGCUAGGCACAUGGUAAUUGUUCAACCCACGCUAUUGAGUUGAAAUGAAUAGUUAAGCAAGUGUUAGACACAGAAAACUAAAACCAGGUUAGACCUACUAGUAAGUUAUGCAAACCACAGGUUUAUCGGUACAAUAUUAAGGUAUGUGGGUCUUUUACUUUUCAUCAUUAAAAAACGUAAGUUUUCUAAUAACUGACCUAUCAGAAAUUCUAGAAUAAUAAAAGAAUGGGCCUGCAUAUAUGCAUAACCCAUGGACACAGACAAUAGUGCAGUG